UACGUAGGUGGCAAGCGUUGUCCGGAAUUAUUGGGCGUAAAGCGCGCGCAGGUGGUUUCUUAAGUCUGCUGUGAAAGCCCACGGCUCAACCGUGGAGGGUCAUUGGAAACUGGGGAACUUGAGUGCAGGAGAGAAGAGUGGAAUUCCACGUGUAGCGGUGAAAUGCGUAGAGAUGUGGAGGAACACCAGUGGCGAAGGCGACUCUUUGGCCUGUAACUGACACUGAGGCGCGAAAGCGUGGGGAGCAAACAGG
rnacentral:rRNA from 1 species